GGUUUUAAAGGCAUGCAGAGAGAAGCUGAGUGCUACAGACUAUUCUACGAUAUUAAUUUAGGCUAUCCGUUUAAUAACCGUAUAACAAUUACCUUACUGUGUUUGUUAAUAUUUACUUUUGUUCGUCUUUUAUAUUUCACUGUUGAGAGGUAGCUGGCUAGAAGGAUUUCACUGCACUGUUGAGAGGUAGCUGGCUAGAAGGAUUUCACUGCACUGUUGAGAGGUAGCUUGCUAGAAGGAUUUCACUGCACUGUUGAGAGGUAGCUGGCUAGAAGGAUUUCACUGCACCGUUGAGAGGUAGCUGGCUAGAAGGAUUUCACUGCACCGUUGAGAGGUAUCUGGCUAGAAGGACUUCACUGCACUGUUGAGAGGUAGCUGGCUAGAAGGAUUUCACUGCACUGUUGAGAGGUAGCUGGCUAGAAGGAUUUCACUGCACUGUUGCGAGGUAGCUGGCUAGA
rnacentral:lncRNA from 1 species